GCCAGGAUAGUUUAAUUAAACAUUAGGCUGUGACCCUAAAAACAGAGUCCGCUCUUCCUAGCC
rnacentral:tRNA from 1 species